rnacentral:rRNA from 1 species
GACAGAGGGGGCAAGCGUUGCUCGGAAUUACUGGGCGUAAAGGGCGCGUAGGCGGGAUGGCAAGUCGGUCGUGAAAUCCCUCGGCUCAACCGAGGAACGUCGAUCGAUACUGCUGUUCUUGAGGAUUGCAGAGGAGACUGGAAUUCCCGGUGUAGCGGUGAAAUGCGUAGAUAUCGAGAGGAACACCUGCGGCGAAGGCGAGUCCCUGGACGACUCCUGACACUGAGGCACGAAAGCUAGGGGAGCAAACAGG